ACUAACUUCAGCCUCGUCUCUAUGUUGUAGGUUGUAAGAGCAACUAUUAUUUUGUGAGCUGUUGACUCUGUGUUGAAGCUGUGAUGAAUGUGUACUCUACUGUUCACUCAAAUGAUCAACCGAUAUAUUGGCUGGCCGAUUAUUGCCAUUCUUUAGAUAAUCGGCAUUAGCCCAUGCCUGGCAUUGACCGGCCUCAGGCAUCAUCGCCUUCAGCCUCAUUUUAGCCUCCACAGGAUUCCAAACAGCACAGAUGACAGCCAUACUCCCCUGGACAUCAAAUCAGAGGAUGUGGAUUGACACUAGAAAUAACUACUUUUCCACAGGCCAGAGUCUCUGUUAUUACUCUGUAAUGUUACUGACUGUCUGAGGUAAGAUAAUAUUGUUGUACCUUUUUAUGUCAGUAUUUUACCCAUUUUUUCCACGUUUGUUUUAAAUGAACAGUAAAAAAGA